UUCCUACCAAUACUUGCGCAUGACUUGAAGAUGUCAGCAACGGGAAGGAGCUCUUCUGAUAUCUAUCAUCGGCAUUUCUAACACUUUGUCAAAGAUUGUGAUUGGUAAAAUAUCUGACCAAUCAUGGGUCGACUGUAUCCUCGUCAAUAGUGUGACGCUUACGAUUGGUGGAGUGACCACGUGUUUUGUGCCAUAUUAUCGUCUGUUCGGUAUCCUGGCGGCGUACUCCGUCAUAUUUGGAGGAGUUUUGGGGACAUUUUCAACACUGAAUUCAAUUAUCACGGUCGAGUUGAAGGGAUUGGAGAGACUUCCAAAUGCCUUUGGUAUUCUCAACCUAUGGAUAGGGAUAGCCUUGGUACUUGGAUCUCCUAUAGCAGGGUCCCUGGCUGAUAUCACGGGGUACUACAAUGUGACAUUCUACUACUCUGGGGCUGCUAUAGGGAUCGGUGGAUUACUGUGCCUUCCACUGAGGACGGUAAUGAGAUGGGAGGACAAGGAAAUACCUAACUAAAUGCAAAACAUGCGAACGCACUUCAGAGGACAUUUCCAGGAGAUCUACCACUACAAUUGAUACUUACAUGUAGAAUUAUUCUAUUACGAUAAGAAACAAUAAAAGCGGCAGCUAUACGGUUAAGAUGGCGUGCCAAACGUUGCAUUAUUCAAUAAUUUGAUGUUCCCAAUCUGUUGGCAUU